CACCCCCUUGGACUUCUGUUCAAAGAUGAGAACAAGUCCACAGAGUUGGCUGAUGUUCUACAGCAUCUCCAGAAUGAGUAUGUUCCAAAGGGCCCAGAUGGACCGCAGAGCAUUUUAGUCGGUGGUGACAGACUAACGGAGGGAAAUAGCCGCGGCAUACAGUUGGCCUUUGCCGAAGGAGAAAAUGUGGACGACAGGCUGGAAGGCCUUGUCUUUAAGUUUGAAGAUUGGCACGCAAUUAGAAACCUUUUUGAGAUCUAUCAUCGGGUCUUUUACAAAGAGGGUUCGGCAAGGGAUCAUGGGACACUCCUCGCCAAUAUGAAUAAGUUGAGGUUUUUCCCUUUGAACGAUGAACCCCAGCCACCAUGAAUUACGGCUCGGUACUUCAUCACGACUUUUUCUGCUCUGUCCUGUUGUCCAGCCACCAUGAAUUACGGCUCGGUACUUCAACACGACUUUUUCUGCUCUGUCCUGUUGUCCAGCCACCAUGAAUUACGGCUUGAUGCAGCAAUGCAAAGCAAGGUCCACGUGCUGCUUUCAAUGCAUACAAGGAGUUUGUGCAGAAGGACACUACAGCUCUCUUCUUGGCUGCGGCAAUGGAGCACUUUGGACUACAGAAUGUGUCAGAUGUCCCAGACGGAUUCAUCCCAGACCACAUCUUAACUGGUACACUAGAGGACAAAAGGACCUGGCUGCAUGGUGUAGUCUCCCAAAUUGUGGACAAAUUUGUCAUAUUUGAGGACAUUUCUGACAUUGUCAGCGGUGUAACAGAUACAGCCAGUGACCUGCCCAAACAGGGAGAGAAGCUCUCUUGCCGCGCCACAGGUUGCAAGCGUGUAUACAAGUACAUAAAGGCUAGGGAAAACCAUGAGAAAAGAGAGCAUGGGUUGACAGUAUCUCCCAAGGCACCUUCAUAUACAGACAGUCAAAGAUCAGUGUUAGACCACAAAAAGCAACACACAGAGGCUAGACUGGGUUUUGGAUUCUUCUUGGCUGACCUGCAGGAUGCAGUUAAGGAGGGAGACGGAGACAGGCUAAUGCGAUUGUAUACUGUAGCGUUGAUCUUCUACAAGGCCUACGGGCAUACACAGUAUGCAUACAGCACGCUACUUCUAACCUUGCAGGUUAAUCACACACUUUCCCCUCGCUUAGCACACAGUCUGGUGUGGAAUAGGUUUUGGAAUGGGAAGGGAGGAAUGGGAAGGAACAUUUCACUAGAUCUACACCUAGAACACCUAAACAAUUUCCUUAAGUCCUUUUUAAAACGCAGUGGUCCAAACCUUAACGAGCAAACAGCAGACAGAGUCAGCAAGUCAAUUGGGGUCCUGAAAACUUUGAUGGAGACCACAGACAGAGAACUACAGGUCUUAAAGUCCUCUGGUGUACAUCAUGCUGCUAGUCAGA